UACAGAGGGUGCGAGCGUUAAUCGGAAUUACUGGGCGUAAAGCGUGCGUAGACGGUUAUUUAAGUCGGAUGUGAAAGCCCCGGGCUCAACCUGGGAAUUGCAUUCGAGACUGAAUAGCUAGGGUGCGGUAGAGGGAAGCGGAAUUUCCGGUGUAGCGGUGAAAUGCGUAGAUAUCUGGAGGAAUACCGGUGGCGAAGGCGGCAUCCUGGACCAUUACUGACGCUGAGGCGCGAAAGCUAGGGGAGCAAACGGG
rnacentral:rRNA from 1 species